rnacentral:rRNA from 1 species
CCUACGGGUGGCAGCAGUGAGGAAUAUUGGUCAAUGGGCGCGAGCCUGAACCAGCCAAGUAGCGUGAAGGAUGACUGCCCUACGGGUUGUAAACUUCUUUUAUAAAGGAAUAAAGUGAGGCACGUGUGCCUUUUUGUAUGUACUUUAUGAAUAAGGACCGGCUAACUCCGUGCCAGCAGCCGCGGUAAUACGGAGGAUCCGAGCGUUAUCCGGAUUUAGUGGGUUUAAAGGGAGCGUAGAUGGGUUGUUAAGUCAGUUGUGAAAGUUUGCGGCUCAACCGUAAAAUUGCAAUUGAUACUGGCAGGCUUGAGUGCAGUGGGGGCAGGCGGAAUUCGUGGUGUAGCGGUGAAAUGCUUAGAUAUCACGAAGAACUCCGAUUGCGAAGGCAGCUUACUAGACUGCCACUGACAUUGAUGCUCGAAAGUGUGGGUAUCAAACAGGAUUAGAUACCCUUGUAGUC